GACGAACGCUGGCGGCGUGCUUAACACAUGCAAGUCGAACGGAAAGGCCCUGCUUUUGUGGGGUGCUCGAGUGUCGAACGGGUGAGUAACACGUGAGUAACCUGCCCUUGACUUUGGGAUAACUUCAGGAAACUGGGGCUAAUACCGGAUAGGAGCUCCUGCUGCAUGGUGGGGGUUGGAAAGUUUCGGCGGUUGGGGAUGGACUCGAGGCUUAUCAGCUUGUUGGUGGGGUAGUGGCUUACCAAGGCUUUGACGAGUAGCAGGCCUGAGAGGGUGACCGGACACAUUGGGACUGAGAUACGGCCCGGACUCCUACGGGAGGCAGGAGUGAGGAAUAUUGCACAAUGGGCGGCAGCCGGAUGCAACAACGACGCGUGAGGGAUGAAGGGCUUCGGGUUGUAAACCGCUUUCGCCUGUGACGAAGCGUGAGUGACGGUAAUGGGUAAAGAAGCACCGGCUAACUACGUG
rnacentral:rRNA from 1 species